CUACCUGAGAACACACCUCUCCUUGAUGACACAGGCUGGAACCUAACUGAGCAAGGCCAUGCCAAAAAAAAGAAGUAGAAAAACAAGAUGGCCUCAGCACCCCAUCCUGUGUCAACUUGUGGUGUAGACUAAAGGGAAAGGAAGUCAACCAGGGUCUCCUUUUGGAUUUCUUCACAGUCUUCCAACACAGGGUGGGGUUUGCCCCCAUUUGAACUGGCUGCAGUGCUGGGCACCCUGUGGCACCUCACAUGGAUAUUGACUGAAGAGCCAACAUUUAUUGAAUGCAUUAUGAAGAACAGAUGGAGGCCAAACUCAUUGGCUGAGGUCUUGGGGCAUCCUUUGCACAUGGGAGAGAACCACAGGCAUCGGGUAUGCCCAUAGUGUUUAGUCUUCCUGCAGCCAGCUCCACACGCCAAUGGCAUCACCAUGACGCCCUGCAUGAGGACCUUCCUGGAGAGGUCCCUGAAGGAUGCGGUCCGAAACAAGUACGCCAGCGACCUGAGG